rnacentral:rRNA from 1 species
UUGUUGGGUAGGGGAGCGUUCUGUAAGCCUGUGAAGGUGUGCUGUGAGGCAUGCUGGAGGUAUCAGAAGUGCGAAUGCUGACAUAAGUAACGAUAAAGCGGGUGAAAAGCCCGCUCGCCGGAAGACCAAGGGUUCCUGUCCAACGUUAAUCGGGGCAGGGUGAGUCGACCCCUAAGGCGAGGCCGAAAGGCGUAGUCGAUGGGAAACAGGUUAAUAUUCCUGUACUUGGUGUUACUGCGAAGGGGGGACGGAGAAGGCUAUGUUGGCCGGGCGACGGUUGUCCCGGUUUAAGCGUGUAGGCUGGUUUUCCAGGCAAAUCCGGAAAAUCAAGGCUGAGGCGUGAUGACGAGGCACUACGGUGCUGAAGCAACAAAUGCCCUGCUUCCAGGAAAAGCCUCUAAGCAUCAGGUAACAUCAAAUCGUACCCCAAACCGACACAGGUGGUCAGGUAGAGAAUACCAAGGCGCUUGAGAGAACUCGGGUGAAGGAACUAGGCAAAAUGGUGCCGUAACUUCGGGAGAAGGCACGCUGAUAUGUAGGUGAAGCGACUUGCUCGUGGAGCUGAAAUCAGUCGAAGAUACCAGCUGGCUGCAACUGUUUAUUAAAAACACAGCACUGUGCAAACACGAAAGUGGACGUAUACGGUGUGACGCCUGCCCGGUGCCGGAAGGUUAAUUGAUGGGGUCAGCGCAAGCGAAGCUCUUGAUCGAAGCCCCGGUAAACGGCGGCCGUAACUAUAACGGUCCUAAGGUAGCGAAAUUCCUUGUCGGGUAAGUUCCGACCUGCACGAAUGGCGUAAUGAUGGCCAGGCUGUCUCCACCCGAGACUCAGUGAAAUUGAACUCGCUGUGAAGAUGCAGUGUACCCGCGGCAAGACGGAAAGACCCCGUGAACCUUUACUAUAGCUUGACACUGAACAUUGAGCCUUGAUGUGUAGGAUAGGUGGGAGGCUUUGAAGUGUGGACGCCAGUCUGCAUGGAGCCGACCUUGAAAUACCACCCUUUAAUGUUUGAUGUUCUAACGUUGACCCGUAAUCCGGGUUGCGGACAGUGUCUGGUGGGUAGUUUGACUGGGGCGGUCUCCUCCUAAAGAGUAACGGAGGAGCACGAAGGUUGGCUAAUCCUGGUCGGACAUCAGGAGGUUAGUGCAAUGGCAUAAGCCAGCUUGACUGCGAGCGUGACGGCGCGAGCAGGUGCGAAAGCAGGUCAUAGUGAUCCGGUGGUUCUGAAUGGAAGGGCCAUCGCUCAACGGAUAAAAGGUACUCCGGGGAUAACAGGCUGAUACCGCCCAAGAGUUCAUAUCGACGGCGGUGUUUGGCACCUCGAUGUCGGCUCAUCACAUCCUGGGGCUGAAGUAGGUCCCAAGGGUAUGGCUGUUCGCCAUUUAAAGUGGUACGCGAGCUGGGUUUAGAACGUCGUGAGACAGUUCGGUCCCUAUCUGCCGUGGGCGCUGGAGAACUGAGGGGGGCUGCUCCUAGUACGAGAGGACCGGAGUGGACGCAUCACUGGUGUUCGGGUUGUCAUGCCAAUGGCACUGCCCGGUAGCUAAAUGCGGAAGAGAUAAGUGCUGAAAGCAUCUAAGCA